rnacentral:rRNA from 1 species
UGCGUAGGUGGAUUUUUAAGUCAGGUGUGAAAUACCGGGGUUCAAUCUCGGUGCUGCAUUUGAAACUGAAAAUCUGGAGGAUAGAUGGGGAAAGCGGAAUUCCACGUGUAGCGGUGAAAUGCGUAGAUAUGUGGAAGAACACCGGUGGCGUAGGCGGCUUUCUAAUUUAGACCUGACACUGAGGCACGAAAGCAAGGGUAGCAAACA